CCUAGACUUAUUUCCAGAAAAUAAAACCUAUAACUGCCUCUGUGUAAAGCACAGAAUCUAGCAAUGACCUUUAUAAAGUGAAAUCUGCUGAAUACAAAUCUCUUUCACAAACUGAUUUUGUCUUUGUAGGCUUUUUGUAUAAUGUUUCAAUUAAUCAGAUAUUGUCAGAAAUAAGUUGUCAAGACAAAAAUCAGAGAUUGUGAAGAAAAUUCAGCAGUGUCUGAAUGAGUAAACAGCUCACAUUCUGGCACAAUGCCCUAUAGCUAACAGUCAUAUGGCCAAGCUGUGCCCUUCUAUCGGACAAAUAACAUCCAUAUUCAUUUAUGGGCACUGUGGUGGCUAAUUAAUUAAGGGUGAGAUUACUGUAGAAGGUUAUUGUUGAGAAUAUGACAGUAACAGUCAGUGAGAGCCCUUCCGUUGGCAGUGUGUAAUAUGUCAUCAUGAAUACCAUUAAAUAAGUGUGGAAAAUAGAUAAAUAGAUGCCUUUCAAUUUACAGCUACAAAUGUCAGAAUUCACAAGGAUGUUGUCAUCAGGAAUGCUGGAUUGUGGCACUGUAAAUUUACAUACUCUGUUUAACACUGUCACGGAUCGUAAGAGGCGAAGACUCAAGUGCAUGCAGAUGAGGAUUCUUUAUUUGUAAAUAACCAAAGUAAACAAAAACACAACUGAAACCACCCCGAAGGGGAAAAAAACAGAGUAGCAUUCAUGGUUACAACUCGUCAUAAACUGAACACAGGGCAGCCAGACAUCAAAGGCAGGAACCGGUACAUACGUGAGACAAACAAGCCCAGAACAGAAAACACAGGAAGCUUAUAAAGAAGAGGCAACCAGGUAAACUGCUGGGACAAAUUAAAUCAAGGAAUAAGGUAACGAGAGAACAGGUGAGUGGAGUUUAGGGGAAUGGAGUCCAGAGGAAAGGGAGAAACACAGGUGGAGCAACUGAAUCAAUAAUGACGUAACAAGAUGGGCGGGGUCAGAAAAUAGACAGGAGAGAGCACAUGGCACCAAACAAACACAACACUCACAAAAAGACAGUGUCAGGGCACACCAGCUAAAGACUGUGACAAACACAGGCUGAAGGAUCAUUUUUGAUAAUCAAGCUGGCAUGAACAAGAGUGGCUGGGACUAGUUUUCACUAAAGCUAUAUCUCAAUAAAUAUAACGUUUAGAGCCAAAAGUCCAUUUAUGAAAAUAUGUUUUUUUUCUACCGAUGGUUUUGAAUGCUGGUUUCAAAGAUCUAUGUUCAAAAAUUUUCUUAAAUUAAAACAUUUAUAAUGAUUCAACAAAAGUCAAAUUUAUUUAUUUAGUUUUUUUGGAAAAAAAAAAAAAAACAGUAAAUAUAAAUAGCUAAAUAAAAAUAAAAAUAUAGAAAAAUAUAGAAAAUAUAUUUAAAAAUAAUACGUUCUUGAAUACACCUCUGGUGCAACUCAGACACAUCAUCAGUGAUGUUUCCUGGGUUCAUUGGGUGUUUUGGGUCUCACAACAUCAUACACCCUCGCCCAGGUGACCCAGCCAGGGUUGAUCAGACCCUGGCUUGUGUCUGAGUAGCUUGUAUGAUCCACGGAUCGUCCCGCUUGAUCCACAGUCACCUUGAUGCCUUUUCGGCAGCAUCCGUGAUGUUCUUGACGGCUUUCCUGAUGUGCAGUCCCUUCAUUC
ensembl:lncRNA